GCUUUCGUGGUGUAGUGGUCAGCACGCUCGACGCGUAACCGAGAGGUCCGUGGUUCGAUUCCUGGCGAAGAUG
rfam:Stegodyphus mimosarum contig95183, whole genome shotgun sequence.